AAACUGUGACAUAAGCAAACACAAAGUGACACUUGUAUUGUGGGCAGGUUCAGCAGUUGGUGCUGUGCUGCUUAAUCCUUCUGCAGGUGCCAUCACACCAAAUGCAGAGGAGCACAGCUGUAUGUACAACAGCAGCUACUUAGAUCAAUCCAAAACACACCGCACAUGGCAGCUUAUUUGUACCAUCUGCUACAGAAAUGUCAGUCAAGGACACCGAAGCUUCCAUGCAGUUUUAAAGUAGUCAUAUAAAUGUAUUACAUAGCAUUCCUGACAUCAGCCUGUUCGGUAUCACAGACAGCAGAACAUGGAGCAGAGAGAUAGUGGAAGAUGUGGAAGAUGCUCCUCACCUGCCAGCAUCUCCCUAGAGAACCCAAACUACAAGCAGACACACUGGUAAAGAGCAACCAAAAGAAAAGAGCAUUUUGACAGUCAUUUCACACCUUCACUGUGGGUCCCCACACCAAGAUACCAGAAGGACCAUUUGCACCACAGGACCCCAAUGCCCCGCCCAGAGGAAGCAGAUUGACGGAGAAUAAAAGUUCUCACAUCUUCCUAAGGGCUCAGCAGCUACAACACUUGCCAUGAAAAGGGGCUUCUGGAGCUCUCACAUGUAUAAUCCUAGUCCCUAUUUAUCCUUACAGUUUAAAACUACCAACCAUUUGCUCGACAGCAUAUAGGUUCAUUCUGCAGUUUUCCACUCUAUGUCACUAUUGCCUCAGCACAGACAAACAGGCCAGGGAAUAUCUGCAGAGGAACAGCAACAGCUCAGGGCACACUCAGCUCUCACAUCUGGAAUCAUCUCACAUUAGCUUUUCCUGACAGACCUGAACAUUUCAUAUGUGCCUUUUUGAUAUCCCCCUUUGAAUACCAAGUGACACUUUAGGAUUAAGUGAAAAUGUUUCAUUAAGAAAUACAUGAAAAGGCCACUUAAAUUAGAGAAACUAUUGGCUAAUGAGGAAAUUCAAUUGAGCAUUGAUAAAAGCAGUCACCCGUGAAUCCCACAGCAAAACAUACUCUGUUUUUACCGUGGAAGUUAGAAGAGCAAUCUCUAUACCCUGUGCCGCAAGAGACAGCUAAUAUUUACACAGCCGCUGCUUCCUUUGGGCUACAUGUGCAAUACUUCUCUUUUUAAAGGUUGGUGUCAGGUCACCAAGAAUCCCCAGGACCCAGUGCCAAUUUGCAAAAAAAAAAAUACAAAUAAGCUUAUACAAGAACUGCGAGUAUUUUUCAA